UAUGGCAUUUAUGCUCUUAAUAAAAAGGUGUUUUUCCUUAAAUCAUGUUUUUCAGAUGUCAGGGAAUUCUGGCUUAAAAAAUGCAUGCAGGGCGCUAAUCAAUCGCUGGCUCCGCCCCUCAUGUUGACUACCAGCUUACGAGCACUUCGUUCAGUACCCGUCCAAUGAAGCGGAGCGCCGUGCGCCCCUCUGCUCACACAAAGCUCUCACAGCCGUUACCGCGGAACAGGUCACAGGUCACAGGGCCGCAGAUACAGGUCACAGGUCACAGGGCCGCGGAUACAGGUCGAAGGUCACAGGGCCACGGAUACAGGUCACAGGUCACAGGGCCGCGGAUACAGGUCACAGGUCACAGGGCCGCGGAUACAGGUCACAGGUCACAGGGCCGCGGAUACAGGUCACAGGGCCGCGGAUACAGGUCACAGGUCACAGGGCCGCGGAUACAGGUCGAAGGUCACAGGGCCACGGAUACAGGUCACAGGUCACAGGGCCACGGAUACAGGUCACAGGGCCACGGAUACAGGUCACAGGGCAGCGGAUACAGGUCACAGGUCACAGGGCCGCAGAUACAGGUCACAGGGUCACAGGUCACAGGGCCACGUUGUCGCUUGUGGACGCUGUUAGCUGCAAGCGGACAUCUUUGCGUUGGAGGCUGAGUGUGCAGCCUGUGUGCUGCAGCGAUAGGGGACCAAUCGCACGCCGCUCAUUUUAUUGACCAGCGCCUGAACGCACCACCUGAAUAUUUUUUUCUCAUCGGAGCAUCGGAGUAUUUGGUUAAUAACGUGAACACUGUUGUAAACGAGGACCUGCAGAUGAGUUUAGAAGACAACACAAUGACCUACGAGGCCGGACUGAGGGAGACGUCCUCUGCUGACGUCCUACCUGUCCUGUCUCACCUCCUCCUCCUCUUCUGUAUUCUGACUUCCAACAUCCACACUGAUCCUCCGCUCGGCCUGGUGGCCCGUCAGCUCAACGGGGGAGGGGCUCUUCAGGUGUGUGUGUGUGUGUGUGUGUGUGUGUGUGCGUGUGCGUGCGUGUGUGUAUGCGUGUGCGUGUGUGUGCGGGUUGUGGUGACUGCAGGCUGCUAGUAAUUGAAAAGCCAGAACGCCAGCAACCGUGACCCCUGUGACCUCCUAUUGAGAGAACAACCAUUGAUUUCUGCACAGAGGGAGCAAGUGCUAAAGAAAAGGAUACAUUAUAGGAAAGGAACAGAGCAAGAAGAAGGAAAGAGGGAAGCUGAAUACAAAGGAAGCAUUAGAGGUAAACUGGGAAGUACGAAGGACUGGGAAAGAUUUCAGACAAAGGAAUGAAUCAGGAGGCUGUCAGAGAGGCGAAGUAUAGAACAUGUGGGAUAAAAAAGUACAGGAGGGAUGAUAGAUGAGGAGGGAGAAAAAGAAUAAACAAUAAUUAAAAAGCUUGAUGUAAAAUAAACCGCAGGAUAGAAAGGAGGAAGCAAAGGGAAGAUCUGGGCAUGCAUGCUAACUAAAGCCUAGUUUAUGCUUCUGCAUUUUCAGAGCGAA
ensembl:lncRNA